rnacentral:rRNA from 1 species
GUAGGGAAUCUUGGGCAAUGGGCGCAAGCCUGACCCAGCGAUGCCGCGUGUGUGAAGAAGGCCUUCGGGUUGUAAAGCACUUUCAGUGGUGAAGAAAAGCUAGAGAUUAAUACCCUCAAGUCUUGACGUUAACCACAGAAGAAGCACCGGCUAACUCCGUGCCAGCAGCCGCGGUAAUACGGAGGGUGCGAACGUUAAUCGGAAUUACUGGGCGUAAAGCGCGCGUAGGCGGUUCGGUAAGUGGGAUGUGAAAGCCCCGGGCUCAACCUGGGAACUGCAUUCCAAACUGCCGGACUAGAGUAUGGUAGAGGGAGGUAGAAUUUCCUGUGUAGCGGUGAAAUGCGUAGAUAUAGGAAGGAAUACCGAUGGCGAAGGCAGCCUCCUGGACCAAUACUGACGCUGAGGUGCGAAAGCGUGGGGAGCAAACAGG